AAGAAGAAACCGGCCCGGAGUUCUGGCCGACAGCAGGCGAGGAGUGGGCAGCAGCGCCUAUGUGAGGUUAGCUAAUCUGAGAAGGCCCACUUCUGGUUCCAUGGAUGAUGGCGGUUGAGCAGAUGCCAAAAAAGGAUUGGUACAGCAUCCUGGGGGCAGACCCAUCUGCAAAUAUAUCAGACCUAAAACAAAAAUAUCAAAAACUCAUAUUAAUGGUGGAUGGAUUACUUGAGUCUUGGAGUUGGAGACCAGCCUGGGCAAUAUGGAAACCUCGUCUCUACAGAAAAUACAAAAAUUAGCCAGGUUAUUGGAUUUUUCCCCCCUCUUUUUGGUGUAUAUACUUGGAAGGACGCAUCUGUCACAGGAAAA
rnacentral:sRNA from 1 species